UCUUGACUAGUAUAUCGGUUAGUACACGCGCUUGUCAUGUUCGGGAUACAUGUCGAACGCGCGAAAGCUGGGUUCGACUCCCAGGUCGAGAG